AGUGUGCAGGACAUCUACAACGAU
rnacentral:siRNA from 1 species